rnacentral:rRNA from 1 species
UUCUAGUUUUGUAACUAAAAUGGUUUGGCAGUGAGCGAUUCUUAUUAGGGGUAUAUGCAUAGUGAAGGAUGGUCCACCUAUUAGUUUACUCUUUUUAUGUUGGUGUAUGUCUGGUUUGAUAUUAUUGUUGAAUAAUUUAAGUUUGUGUAGUUUUAGUUAAGCUAAGUCUAUGUGCUGCUUAUUGGAGUUUUUGUGUGUUACAUUAAUAAG